rnacentral:rRNA from 1 species
UGGGGAAUAUUGCACAAUGGGCGCAAGCCUGAUGCAGCCAUUCCGCGUGUAUGAAGAAGGCCUUCGGGUUGUAAAGUACUUUCAGCGGGGAGGAAGGGAGUAAAGUUAAUACCUUUGCUCAUUGACGUUACCCGCAGAAGAAGCACCGGCUAACUCCGUGCCAGCAGCCGCGGUAAUACGGAGGGUGCAAGCGUUAAUCGGAAUUACUGGGCGUAAAGCGCACGCAGGCGGUUUGUUAAGUCAGAUGUGAAAUCCCCGGGCUCAACCUGGGAACUGCAUCUGAUACUGGCAAGCUUGAGUCUCGUAGAGGGGGGUAGAAUUCCAGGUGUAGCGGUGAAAUGCGUAGAGAUCUGGAGGAAUACCGGUGGCGAAGGCGGCCCCCUGGACGAAGACUGACGCUCAGGUGCGAAAGCGUGGGGAGCAAACA